rnacentral:rRNA from 1 species
CCGGCGACGGUUCAUUCAAAUUUCUGCCCUAUCAACUUUCGAUGGUAAGGUAUUGGCUUACCAUGGUUUCAACGGGUAACGGGGAAUUAGGGUUCGAUUCCGGAGAGCGAGCCUGAGAAACGGCUAGCACAUCCAAGGAAGGCAGCAGGCGCGCAAAUUACCCAAUCCCGACACGGGGAGGUAGUGACAAUAAAUACUGAUACAGGGCUCUUUUGGGUCUUGUAAUUGGAAUGAGUACAAUUUAAACCUCUUAACGAGGAACAAUUGGAGGGCAAGUCUGGUGCCAGCAGCCGCGGUAAUUCCAGCUCCAAUAGCGUAUAUUAAAGUUGUUGCAGUUAAAAAGCUCGUAGUUGAAACUUGGGUCUGGCUGGCAGGUCCGCCUCACCGCGUGUACUUGUCCGGCCGGGCCUUCCUUCUGGAGAACCUCAUGCCCUUCACUGGGCGUGUUGGGGACCAGGACUUUUACUUUGAAAAAAUUAGAGUGUUCAAAGCAGGCCUUUGCUCGAAUACGUUAGCAUGGAAUAAUAAAAUAGGACGUGCGGUCCUAUUUUGUUGGUUUCUAGGACCGCCGUAAUGAUUAAUAGGGACAGUCGGGGGCAUCAGUAUUCAAUUGUCAGAGGUGAAAUUCUUGGAUUUAUUGAAGACUAACUACUGCGAAAGCAUUUGCCAAGGAUGUUUUCAUUAAUCAGUGAACGAAAGUUAGGGGAUCGAAGACGAUCAGAUACCGUCGUAGUCUUAACCGUAAACUAUGCCGACUAGGGAUCGGGCGAUGUUCUUUUUCUGACUCGCUCGGCACCUUACGAGAAAUCAAAGUUUUUG